rnacentral:rRNA from 1 species
UACGGGGGGGGCAAGCGUUGUUCGGAAUUACUGGGCGUAAAGGGCUCGUAGGCGGCCAACUAAGUCGGAUGUGAAAUCCCCAGGCUCAACCCAGGAACUGCGUCCGAUACUGGUUGGCUUGAAUCCGGGAGAGGGGUGUGGAAUUCCAGGUGUAGCGGUGAAAUGCGUAGAUAUCUGGAGGAACACCGGUGGCGAAGGCGACAUCCUGGACCGGUAUUGACGCUGAGGCGCGAAAGCCAGGGGAGCAAACGGG